UAGCAAAUAUUCAAAUGAGAACUUUUAAGGCCGAAGAGGGGAAAUGUUCCAUGUGAACGGCACUUGCACAUGGGUUAGUCGAUCCUAAGAGUUGGGGGAAACCCGUCUGAUAGCGCUUAUGCAUGAACUUUGAAAGUGGAUCCGGUUAAAAUUCUAGAACCGGGACGUGGCGGUUGCCGGCAACGUUAGGGAGUCCAGAGACGUCAGCGGGAAUUCCGGAAAUGUUAUAAAUCAUGGAGUGGAUUGCCAUUAACCAAGACAAGAAGAGAAGGCCCAUCAGCCAUGAUC
rnacentral:ncRNA from 2 species